AUUGAACGCUGGCGGCAUGCCUUACACAUGCAAGUCGAACGGCAGCGCGGACUUCGGUCUGGCGGCGAGUGGCGAACGGGUGAGUAAUACAUCGGAACGUACCCUGUUGUGGGGGAUAACUAGUCGAAAGAUUAGCUAAUACCGCAUACGACCUGAGGGUGAAAGUGGGGGACCGCAAGGCCUCACGCAGCAGGAGCGGCCGAUGUCUGAUUAGCUAGUUGGUGGGGUAAAGGCCCACCAAGGCGACGAUCAGUAGCUGGUCUGAGAGGACGAUCAGCCACACUGGGACUGAGACACGGCCCAGACUCCUACGGGAGGCAGCAGUGGGGAAUUUUGGACAAUGGGGGCAAGCCUGAUCCAGCCAUGCCGCGUGUGUGAAGAAGGCCUUCGGGUUGUAAAGCACUUUUGUCCGGAAAGAAAUCGAGCUGGUUAAUACCUGGCGUGGAUGACGGUACCGGAAGAAUAAGCACCGGCUAACUACGUG
rnacentral:rRNA from 1 species